rnacentral:rRNA from 1 species
AAAUUGAAGAGUUUUAUCAUGGCUCAGAUUGAACGCUGGCGGCAGGCCUAACACAUGCAAGUCGAACGGUAACAGGAAACAGCUUGCUGUUUCGCUGACGAGUGGCGGACGGGUGAGUAAUAUCUGGGAAACUGCCUGAUGGAGGGGGAUAACUACUGGAAACGGUAGCUAAUACCGCAUAACGUCGCAAGACCAAAGAGGGGGACCUUAGGGCCUCUUGCCAUCGGAUGUGCCCAGAUGGGAUUAGCUAGUAGGUGGGGUAA